UUAACUUUGGUCGUUUACUGUAACGAUGAGAUUACCAAAAUUUCGAAGUGCUUUUCCUUUGUGAAGAGAAAAAGUGGUAUAAGGUAUCAUUCCACUAUAAAAUUUCCACAAGUAUUGUUUGACGAGAUGAUGCUUCCACUUUUAUACAAAGUCUUUUUGUUUUUUCCUGGAAUUUGAUAUUAGGGGUCAUUCGACUUCAUAUCAAUAUUUCCACAUCUACAAUGGGAUUACUCAACUUUUUCUUUUAUUUACUUACAUCAUACUAUCUAGAUAAAAUAGUCUUCGCAUAAAAUAGCAUAAACAUAAUAAUACAAAUCAUAUGAAACUGAAGCUUACUAUCAAUUGAAAAACAAAAAAUUAAUAUUAGUGUUUUGUUAUUUUUUAAUGUUUGAUAUGCUCUUUCUCCAAUCAUGCCGAGUUGCUCUUAGUGUUGUUGUGUUGUUGUCACAGUAGCUGCAGAGUUGCCCUCCUGUCGUGGCCGCGUUGUCACAGUGUCUUCCGAGUUGACCUUCUGCCGUGAUCGUGUUGCCACAGUGUCUGCCGGGUUGUCCAGCCUUGCCGUGGUGUUACAGUAGCUGCCAAGUUGUCCUCCUGUCUUGGUUAUGUUGUCACAGUGUCUGCCGGGUUUUCUCCUAGCUGUGAUCGUGUUGUAGCUUUUCUUUUAGGCUUAGCUCCUCGUUUGGCCGAGCUUCUUCCUCAGUCGGCUUCUCCGAGCUUGCCUUGUGGACGAGCUCUGCAUAACGACUUUUGAUUUUUUUUUCUUUUUGUUAUGUUUUGUUUUUCCCUCUUCUCAGUAACGUAAAAUCAUCUUCUUUUCUGCAAACCUUUCUUGCUUCACUUUCUUUUUACCUUAGCUGCGUUUUGUUUGUUGCCAUGAGAUCCAAUGAGUGUUGUGUAAUUCGCUUUUAUUAAGAUUUUAUGUUUUAUUUACCUAA
rnacentral:lncRNA from 1 species